GUCCCUCCUGCUUGUUUACUACUCCUUCAUUUGGUUUUGGUUGCUCUUCCUCUGUCAGUCUGUUAGUAUUCCUAGGGUUUGAGAUCGGGCUCUUUUUUCCUCCCGAUGCCCUUUUCUUAGAUGAUGUCAAUCAUCCCAAAGCUUUCUAUGCCACUGUGGUACUCAGCUUUAUGUUGCCUUAAUAAAAUAUUAGGCUUAUUAACCUGUAACAAAUAAAGACGUAUUUUAGUUCACAGUUUUGGAGGUUCAAGUACAAGAUCAGGUAGAGACAAUCAUUUUGGCUCUUUGGUGGAUAUACUAGAUGGCAAUGGCAAGGAGCACAUGGUAGAGCACACAGCUCACCUCAUGGUCAGGAAGUUUACAGUUUUGGGGUUGAUUAAUUGGCCCCAUGACUUUGGUCAUGGCGAGGCAGCACAUUGUGGCAGGAAUACAAGUCAGAGCAAACCUGCUCACCUCUUGAGCCCAGAAGCAAAGAGGACCAGGAAUAGAUCAAGAAUCCCCCAGUCCUCUUCAAGGUCAUACCUCCAGUGACUAAAGAACCUCCCAUUAGUCAUCACCUCCCAAAGGACUUACCACCUCCAUAUAGUACCAUGCUGGGGACCAGCCUUUAACAUAUGGGUCUUUUGGGGAUACUUAACUAAACCACAUUAGCCACUAAGUGAUGAUGACUCUGCAUUUUUAAUUUCCAGGUCUGACUGCUUUCCCAAUGCUUAUCUUUUAUGCCUGCUUAGGUCUGGCAGGCAUUUCAAGCCAUUUUUAGACUGCCACACUCCUCCAAAGUAAGGAACUUUACAUCACAAUGCAGUACACACAUACAUUACUGUAAAUAACAGAAACAAAGUUUCAUAAGACUAGUCUUAACCCUUCAAACAUGAUAUGCUUGCUGAUUUUCUCAGUAAUAUGUUCAUUUUCAUUAAAAAAUGCUCUUUGACACACACUCACACUCUCUCACACUCUCUCUCUCUCUCUCUAUAUAUAUAUAUAUAUAUAUAUAAAUUUUAUAUAUAUAUAAAUUUUUUUUGAGGUACUGGAGCUUGAACCCAG
rnacentral:lncRNA from 1 species